UAUGAAAAUGAUCUCAUUUCAUACAUAAACAGCAAUAAUAUUCUUUAUGUUGCUCUAAUUGGACUACAGAUGGUUUAUUGUAGCAACUGACUCAAUACCAUAUGCUGCAGGGUAAAGUAAGCUUGGCUGCAAUUUCUCAGGAAGUAAUCAUUUCACAAAUUCCACAUUAUCAUUAUCAUAUAGUCAGUUUAUUUAAAUCAUUUGUCAUAAUCACUUUCUCCUUUCCACAGUAUUCAACAUGGAUUCAAUUUACACUAGAACAUAUGUUUUUCAUUUUCACUUGUAUCAUUUACAGGAGCAUAUAUUACUAUCAGAAAAACUCUACAAUCUUACUUUCC
rnacentral:lncRNA from 1 species